CGUGGGCAACCUGCCUGUAAGACUGGGAUAACCCCGGGAAACCGGGGCUAAUACCGGAUAAUACUUUUCGUUGCAUAACGAGAAGUUGAAAGGCGGCUUUUAGCUGUCACUUACAGAUGGGCCCGCGGCGCAUUAGCUAGUUGGUAAGGUAACGGCUUACCAAGGCGACGAUGCGUAGCCAACCUGAGAGGGUGAUCGGCCACACUGGGACUGAGACACGGCCCAGACUACUACGGGAGGCAGCAGUAGGGAAUCUUCCGCAAUGGACGAAAGUCUGACGAAGCAACGCCGCGUGAGUCAUGAAGGUUUUCGGAUCGUAAAAUUCUGUUGUCAGGGAAGAACAAGUGCCGUUCGAAUAGGGCGGCACCUUGACGGUCCCUGACCAGAAAGCCCCGGCUAACUACGUGCCAGCAGCCGCGGUAAUACGUAGGGGGCAAGCGUUGUCCGGAAUUAUUGGGCGUAAAGCGCGCGCAGGCGGUCCUUUAAGUCUGAUGUGAAAGCCCACGGCUUAACCGUGGAGGGCCAUUGGAAACUGGAGGACUUGAGUACAGAAGAGGAGAGUGGAAUUCCACGUGUAGCGGUGAAAUGCGUAGAGAUGUG
rnacentral:rRNA from 1 species